GGUUCUCUACAGAGAAGAACGACGACACUCUCUGUCUUGGCAGAAAUGAACCCAAGAAGAAAGACAUUUCGGCAUCCACAAUUGUAGCACUCUAGAAUUGUUUCUCCAAGUGGACUAUCUUUAUGAAGACACACCUCCUUGUGUUUUGCUCGCACCAGGUGAUUAACAAUAUGUGAGCCCGAAGUGUUUCCUCUGGAAUUACAGAACCACUUACGGCAAGAUGGCACAUUGCACCUAACUACACAAGCAGGAUUCGUCACUCCACAGUACUUACAAGCAUGCUCAACCCCAAAAUCCCCUUUUCCAUACUCAAAACCCUCAUCAUCCCCUGUCUCUUCAAAAUUCAACCCACUCAUCCCCGCUGCCAAUGCAUCCACAACCGACGCCUGAUUACUACUACUACUAACAUUACUAUUCCCACCUCCACCCCGUGAUUUCGUCGACGGCGACGCUUCCGACGAUGGAGGCCGAUCAGGUACUUCAGAUACCAGAGAAUCAGACGGUGUUGGCCACGCAGAAGAUCGAAUUGGCUGUGAAAGCUCUUGAAAUUCAGGAUAAUCAAACUCUUCCCCUUGUGUGUUGAAUUCCAGAAACGUGUAUGCGUCGUUGCCGGUAUCCGGCUGAGACGCCGUGUCGUAGAGAUUGUUCGGCUGAGAAUCCAUAGUCAAAAAAAAAUCCUUCAACUGCUUCUUACACUGUAUACUUUUUUUCACCAAAAUCAAAAAUUGUUUAUGAAAAACUAGCGCUAAAGGUUGGAUUUUUGCAUGAAAUUGAUGAAAAUUUUGGAUUUUUCGCAGUGAAAUUUAUGUAGACUG
rnacentral:misc_RNA from 1 species